rnacentral:snRNA from 1 species
CUUGCACAUGGGUUAGUCGAUCC